GACGUUGUAGCUCAAUUGGUAGAGCAACUGGCCCAUAACCAGUCUGUAGCGGGUUCGAAUCCCGUCAAUGUCU
rnacentral:tRNA from 2 species